GACGAACGCUGGCGGCGUGCUUAACACAUGCAAGUCGAACGGAAAGGCCCUGCUUUUGUGGGGUGCUCGAGUGGCGAACGGGUGAGUAACACGUGAGUAACCUGCCCUUGACUUUGGGAUAACUUCAGGAAACUGGGGCUAAUACCGGAUAGGAGCUCCUGCUGCAUGGUGGGGGUUGGAAAGUUUCGGCGGUUGGGGAUGGACUCGCGGCUUAUCAGGUUGUUGGUGGGGUAGUGGCUUACCAAGGCUUUGACGGGUAGCCGGCCUGAGAGGGUGACCGGCCACAUUGGGACUGAGAUACGGCCCAGACUCCUACGGGAGGCAGCAGUGGGGAAUAUUGCACGAUGGGCGGAAGCCUGAUGCAGCAACGCCGCGUGCGGGAUGACGGCCUUCGGGUUGUAAACCGCUUUCGCCUGUGACGAAGCGUGAGUGACGGUAAUGGGUAAAGAAGCACCGGCUAACUACGUG
rnacentral:rRNA from 1 species